rnacentral:rRNA from 1 species
AGCAGCCGCGGUAAUUCCAGCUCCAAUAGCGUAUAUUAAAGUUGUUGCAGUUAAAAAGCUCGUAGUUGAAUUUCGGGGUUAGUAGGUUGGUCAUGCCUCUGGUAUGUACUGGUCUCACUGAUUCCUCCUUCCUGAUGAGCCGUAAUGCCAUUUAAUUUGGUGUUGCGGGGAAUUUGGACUGUUACUUUGAAAAAUUAGAGUGUUUAAAGCAAGCUAACGCUUGAAUACAUUAGCAUGGAAUAAUGAAAUAGGACGUUCGAUCCUAUUUUGUUGGUUUCUAGGAUUGACGUAAUGAUUAAUAGGGAUAGUUGGGGGCAUUAGUAUUCAAUUGUCAGAGGUGAAAUUCUUGGAUUUAUUGAAGACUAACUACUGCGAAAGCAUUUGCCAAGGAUGUUUU